UACGUAGGGCGCAAGCGUUGUCCGGAAUUAUUGGGCGUAAAGAGCUCGUAGGCGGCCUGUUGCGUCCGCUGUGAAAUCCCGGGGCUUAACCCCGGGCUUGCAGUGGAUACGGGCAGGCUGGAGGCAGGCAGGGGAGAACGGAAUUCCCGGUGUAGCGGUGAAAUGCGCAGAUAUCGGGAGGAACACCGGUGGCGAAGGCGGUUCUCUGGACCGUAACUGACGCUGAGGCACGAAAGCGUGGGUAGCAAACAGG
rnacentral:rRNA from 1 species